rnacentral:rRNA from 1 species
GACGAACGCUGGCGGCGUGCUUAACACAUGCAAGUCGAACGGAAAGGCCCUGCUUUUGUGGGGUGCUCGAGUGGCGAACGGGUGGGUAACACGUGAGUAACCUGCCCUUGACUUUGGGAUAACUUCAGGAAACUGGGGCUAAUACCGGAUAGGAGCUCCUGCUGCAUGGUGGGGGUUGGAAAGUUUCGGCGGUUGGGGAUGGACUCGCGGCUUAUCAGCUUGUUGGUGGGGUAGUGGCUUACCAAGGCUUUGACGGGUAGCCGGCCUGAGAGGGUGACCGGCCACAUUGGGACUGAGAUACGGCCCAGACUCCUACGGGAGGCAGCCGUGGGGAAUAUUGCACAAUGGGCGGAAGCCUGAUGCAGCAACGCCGCGUGCGGGAUGACGGCCUUCGGGUUGUAAACCGCUUUCGCCUGUGACGAAGCGUGAGUGACGGUAAUGGGUAAAGAAGCACCGGCUAACUACGUG